GCAAUUUCUAAAUAUCAAUGAAUUUAACCUACGCUUCACAAGCGAAAUAGGAGGCUCUCAACUCUGCUUUCUUGACUUGUCUCUACAGCUGAUAGGAGAUGGAAGAAUUUACACUACAUUACAUAGGAAAAAAACCAGCAUCCAACAAUCUCCUAUGUUGGACUAGCCACCAUCCAAUACCUUUAAAAUCUGGUAUUCCCAUCAGGCAAUACUUGAGAUUAUGCCGGAACUGCUCCACUAUAGAGGAGUUUAAG